rnacentral:rRNA from 1 species
UGCAGUCGUACGCACUGGCCCAACUGAUUGAUGGUGCUUGCACCUGAUUGACGAUGGAUCACCAGUGAGUGGCGGACGGGUGAGUAACACGUAGGUAACCUGCCCCGGAGCGGGGGAUAACAUUUGGAAACAGAUGCUAAUACCGCAUAACAACAAAAGCCACAUGGCUUUUGUUUGAAAGAUGGCUUUGGCUAUCACUCUGGGAUGGACCUGCGGUGCAUUAGCUAGUUGGUAAGGUAACGGCUUACCAAGGCGAUGAUGCAUAGCCGAGUUGAGAGACUGAUCGGCCACAAUGGAACUGAGACACGGUCCAUACUCCUACGGGAGGCAGCAGUAGGGAAUCUUCCACAAUGGGCGCAAGCCUGAUGGAGCAACACCGCGUGAGUGAAGAAGGGUUUCGGCUCGUAAAGCUCUGUUGUUGGAGAAGAACGUGCGUGAGAGUAACUGUUCACGCAGUGACGGUAUCCAACCAGAAAGUCACGGCUAACUACGUGCCAGCAGCCGCGGUAAUACGUAGGUGGCAAGCGUUAUCCGGAUUUAUUGGGCGUAAAGCGAGCGCAGGCGGUUGCUUAGGUCUGAUGUGAAAGCCUUCGGCUUAACCGAAGAAGUGCAUCGGAAACCGGGCGACUUGAGUGCAGAAGAGGACAGUGGAACUCCAUGUGUAGCGGUGGAAUGCGUAGAUAUAUGGAAGAACACCAGUGGCGAAGGCGGCUGUCUGGUCUGCAACUGACGCUGAGGCUCGAAAGCAUGGGUAGCGAACAGGAUUAGAUACCCUGGUAGUCCAUGCCGUAAACGAUGAGUGCUAGGUGUU